CACCAAGAAAUUAAGUCAUAUUUAUAUGGUAAAAAGACAAUUAAGCAAUACAUUAGUUUUUUAAUCAUUUUUCAAGAAGUAAAAUUUAAAUAUAAAUAUAUAAUCUAAUGACAGCUUUACUGUUGAAUUUGUGAUAGCUUUGAGGGAAACUGGGAUUGGAUACCCCAUUAUUCUUAGUUGUAAACUUAAUUAAAUAUUUACCUGAGUACUAUGAAUACAAAAAUUUAAAACUCAAAGGGCUUGGCGGUGUUUUAGACCACUCAGGGGAACCUGUCUCAUAAUCGAUAAUCCACGUUAAACCUGACCUUUUUUUGCAAUCAGUUUGUAUACCGUCGUCGUCAGGUAACUUUUAAAAAAUCAAAAGUUAGCUAGAAAAUUCUUAAAUUAAAACGUCAGAUCUGGGUGCAGCUUAUAAAAAGGCGAAGAUGGGUUACAAUUAUUAUAUCAUAAUUACGGAAAAUUAUAUAAAUAUAUAAUUUGAAGGAGGACUUGAAAGUAAUUUAAAUUACAUAAAAAAUUUGAAUAAGGCUCUGAAACGUGC
rnacentral:rRNA from 1 species